AUUGAACGCUGGCGGCAUGCCUUACACAUGCAAGUCGAACGGCAGCACGGGAGCAAUCCUGGUGGCGAGUGGCGAACGGGUGAGUAAUGUAUCGGAACGUACCUUUCAGUGGGGGAUAACGUAGCGAAAGUUACGCUAAUACCGCAUACUCUGUGAGCAGGAAAGCAGGGGAUCGCAAGACCUUGCGCUGAUUGAGCGGCCGAUAUCAGAUUAGCUAGUUGGUGAGGUAAAGGCUCACCAAGGCGACGAUCUGUAGCGGGUCUGAGAGGAUGAUCCGCCACACUGGAACUGAGACACGGUCCAGACUCCUACGGGAGGCAGCAGUGGGGAAUUUUGGACAAUGGGCGCAAGCCUGAUCCAGCCAUGCCGCGUGAGUGAAGAAGGCCUGGUU
rnacentral:rRNA from 1 species